UUACGGCGGCAAUAGCGUGAGGGAAACGCCCGGUCCCAUCCCGAACCCGGAAGCUAAGCCUCACUGCGCCGAUGGUACUGCACUAGACAUGGUGUGGGAGAGUAGGACACCGCCGGACACCC
rnacentral:rRNA from 1 species